rnacentral:rRNA from 1 species
UCGGGAAUUUUGGGCAAUGGGCGAAAGCCUGACCCAGCAACGCCGCGUGAAGGAUGAAGUAUUUCGGUAUGUAAACUUCGAAAGAAUAGGAAGAAUAAAUGACGGUACUAUUUAUAAGGUCCGGCUAACUACGUGCCAGCAGCCGCGGUAAUACGUAGGGACCAAGCGUUGUUCGGAAUCACUGGGCGUAAAGGGAGUGUAGGCGGUAAGGUGUGUUCGGCGUGAAAGACCUCGGCUUAACCGGGGAAGUGCACUGAAUACUACCUUACUUGAGUGUGAGAGGGGAUGGCGGAAUUGUCAGUGUAGAGGUGAAAUUCGUAGAUACUGGCAGGAACACCGGAGGCGAAGGCGGCCAUCUGGAUCACAACUGACGCUGAUACUCGAAAGCGUGGGUAGCAAACAGGAUUAGAUACCCCUGUAGUCCCUGAGCGGGCUGGCAAGGCGCAU